UACGUAGGGUGCGAGCGUUGUCCGGAAUUAUUGGGCGUAAAGAGCUUGUAGGCGGUUUGUCGCGUCUGCCGUGAAAUUUCUAGGCUCAACCUCGAACUUGCGGUGGGUACGGGCAGACUAGAGUGUGGUAGGGGAGACUGGAAUUCCUGGUGUAGCGGUGAAAUGCGCAGAUAUCAGGAGGAACACCGAUGGCGAAGGCAGGUCUCUGGGCCACUACUGACGCUGAGAAGCGAAAGCAUGGGGAGCGAACAGG
rnacentral:rRNA from 1 species